CAUAGCAAUGAUAGGAGAGACCAUGUGAGGAUAUGACAGAGCCAAGUGACUUGGUGUAUAGCGAGAUAUCAUAGACCCUUCUGCUGAUUCUAACGGCUUGUUAUUAUUUGAUGUUCCCUCAGCGCUAUUUUUAGUCUAUGAAUAAACCUCUGGAGGGCCUGUGUGUGUGUGUGUGUGUGUGUGCGUGUGUGUGUGAGAGAGAGAGCGAGAGACAGAGACCACUGACCAGACAUGCGUACACUCUGAUGUAAAUAAUGACGUAAUGCAGUGCAUGCCUGGUACGUGUGCUCGUCUGUGAUCUAAACUCAUAGAGAAACCAAGCCAAUAUGGAUUAAACUGUCAUUAGCAAAAAUAAGCUAAUUUAAAAUAAAAAGAGGUCAAGUUCAUCAGAUGGAGGGACUUCAAUUCCAUUCGAAGACAGUCAAAUAUUCACUUCUGUUGGUCUCUCUCUUUUUGUUAUCCCUCCACUCUCAAACUCUGUUUCUCUGCCAUGUAUCUCUCUCUCUGUACGGUUCUGCUGCAGUCGUAUUCAGGCUGAUUUGAUUUGUUACUGCUGUUCUGCGGCGGCCGGCGGUCGGCGGGAAUCAGGAGGCAUCCAAACACAGGGACAGACACAGGGACAGGAGUGGAGGGAACAGAGAUGACCACAGUCACACCCAGUGCUCAGCACGAGUUGACAGGACAAGGCCACUCACCAAUGGGCACAUGUCCCCUUCUCGCCUGUCGUCCAAUCACAACAGUCCAGCAAACCUAGGAGAGUUCCUGCGUGAUAAAGAGCAGCAGCUGGAGCGUUUUUCGGAGGAACGAGGGAGGAGGAUGGAGGCGCAGAAAAAAAGAAAGGAGAGGAGACGACAGCAGGAAGAGGAGGAGAAGGUCAGAGAUCAAACUACUAUGCACCCUAAUUUUUUUGUCCUUUCCUCAACGGCUCCUUCCAACUCCCCCACACCCUGUUUACCUCUCCCUCUCUCUCUCUCUCUCUGAUUUGGGUUGAGUAUGGUCUGCCUGUUGGGUUAGAUUAGAUGUGCUUUAAAAGUAGGCCAAUGGUGAACAUCUCAACUGAUGAUUUGAAAUUGAUUGGGAGACAGCCCAUCCUUGCAGACAGACUCUCCUGUUUAUGUUAAUAGAUUAAUGAUUGGGCGGUCUCUGUGGCUGCACCAUGAUAUCAUCGUUGGCGUAUCAUGUGUCAUUUCCUGGAAUCAGACAGUACAUAAUAUAUAUCUGUCAUGCACACACACACACACACAUGGAUAUGAAUAUUUAAUUAUGUGUAGGACCAGAUAGAGGACAGAGUUUCCAUACGAUACAAUAGGAUGUGAUAUGAUAUGAGGCCAGUGGUAGCCUAUAGAAUGGAUGUUGGUUGAUUACUGCAGAAUUAUCAAUUAGAUAUGCAAACAAUAUGAGUUAAUGUAUUGAUAAAAAACACUGCUGAUUAAUCUGUCUGUGGUUAUUUAGGUGUGUGUGUCUGUUCUGCUGUAGAACUCUGUCUCUGGUUAUUUAGGUGUGUGUGUGUGUGUUCUGCUGUAGAACUCUGUCUCUGGUUAUUUAGGUGUGUGUGUGUUCUGCUGUAGAACUCUGUGGGGGUUCUAUUUUAGUCCUGGCCCCGGUCGGGUUCUGGGUUGCCGUAGCGAUAUUGUCCGCUAUCACCUCAGAUGACUCUCUCUCUCUCUCCCCCCCCCCUCUCUCU